UGGGAUUGCAGACUGAAAAAUGCAGAUCACCGGGGCAUUACUCAUUUCUCCGGCUCUGAUCCGCUGUUGUGCCAGGGGUCUAAUCAGGCCUGUGCCUGCCUCCUUCUUGAAUAGCCCAGAGAAUUCAUCUAAACAGCCUUCCUGCAGCAGCUCCCCACUCCAGGUGGCCCAACGGGAGUUCCAGACCAGUGUUGUCUCCUGGGACAUUGACACAGCAGCCAAGUUUAUUGGUGCUGGGGCAGCCACAGUUGGUGUGGCUGGUUCAGGGGCUGGCAUCGGAACGGUGUUUGGCAGCUUGGUCAUUGGCUAUGCCAGGAACCCAUUUCUCAAGCAGCAGCUCUUCUCCUACGCCAUUCUGGGCUUUGCCCUGUCUGAGGCCAUGGGGCUCUUCUGUUUGAUGGUCGCCUUCCUCAUCCUCUUCGCCAUGUGAGGCUCUGUGGGGUCACCUGCCUGUCCCUGCUGCGGUGACUCCAUACCAUUCCUGGUGCUGGGGUGUGCUAAGCUUUACCAUUAAACACAAUGUUUCUCU